ACACUGGUCAUAGAAGAUGCCAAGAGGGCACAGAAGCAGUGCUGUGGGACCCGUUUUUCCCCAGACAUGCCCUGAUGAAAUCUCAUCAUCCAGAGUGGGAGGAUAAAUUUGGUGUUCAUUUUGAGGGUUUAUGAAUGACUACUUCACAACUACCACACCUCCUCUCAAAAUAAAUUCACUUCAGAAGCAGAAAAAUUAUGUUUCAAAAAGGCCUUUGGAACUGUGCCGACGGCUGCCUUGGCCAAAUCGGGAGCAGAGUACCAGAGCUACUGCCAUGGAGCUGAUGCGGAGGAACAUGAGGGUACAAAACUGAGGAGAAGGCAGAAGGAAGGUGGUAUGUUAUACAUCAGGGGAGGCAGGAAGAAUGGGGAUGGAAGCUGGAGUGUGGCAGGGAAAGGACGAAAGGGGAAAAAUGGCAGCUCCAUCUUCCCAAAUAGUAGAGGGCAAACCGUGCAGACCCUUUCCCUGCAGCUGAGAGAAUUCCACCCUUGCGUCCACUGUGUACAUAAGGGUGAAUGUCAAACCUAAAUAAAUCACAAAUUGGGACGACAGCUGAUUUUUGAG